rnacentral:lncRNA from 1 species
GCAAAGUUGUUACAACAGGAGGAAAAAGGAAGCCAGAGGAGGAAACAAUUGAGAUCAGAAGUAGUGAGGGCGAAGAGAAGAAAGCAGAAAGAGAAAAGGAGAAGGAAGAUAUUAAAGAAGCACUCCGCAAGAUUCUCAAGGAGGCACCCAUUAAUCCUAGAACAUCUUCACAAACUUUUAAAUGUGAUGAGAAGAUCAAGUACUAUCUGGGAAAGUUACUUGAUCUGGGUUAUGAAGAAAAUCAGGAGCAGUGGGUGAAACCCCGGAAGAAGAACCAUCACUAGUGCAGCGAGGGGCUUUUACCGCGGUUAUUUUUCACUAUAGGUCGCGGUUUACGAACCGCGGCAUAUUCAGCCGCGGUAGUAAGUCAGAGACUUUAGGCCGCGGU